CUGAAUGCAGAAAGUAGCCAGUCCUCUCUCAUUUUAUCCCCCCAUAAAAGUUAUUUCUCUUUGAAUAAAUUCCUUUCCUUGUGAAUCUGAGAAUCAGCAUCUCUAAUUUCUAAAAAUUAUACCAUGUUUCUAUCUAUAUCAUACUGAGUUAUUUGUCUUAAAGAAAAUGAGCUCAUUAAAAUGUUUUAACCAUGGAUAAAGAUGGUAUUCUCUAUUUAAUGAGGAAUUUUAUUUCCUCUCAAUGCUUUAGUUUUUCUUUUUCUCUGUU
rnacentral:lncRNA from 1 species